AAGUAUGGAACGCUGUGGAUUCAUAUUGGCAAACUCCCACCACCGCCUUACGGGAUAUUGGUGACCCUGCUAAAGACCUUCGGGUCACAAGCUCCUUAUCACGGUUCUGGGCAAAUGGAGGAGAUGACGAUGAAUGUGAUAUAGAUCAGGAUUCCGGUGUCUAUCCCUCUGCACUCACGGACAACCGGCUGGCAAAUAAGACGGCUUUUACUGUGGAACAGCUUGUCCAGAAAAUCGAGGGACUACCUGAUCAGAAGUUUCAGGAGCAGGCCACUGUAAUUGACACAUAUAAAAAAGAGGUCAAUAAUUUUUUAGCUUUUGACCAGACGGUUCCUCCAAGUAGCAAGUUAAAGCCGUGGCAUGGGCCAUUACCUCCAAAAAGAAUCUCUCCGUCACUAACGCUAGCAGACUGUCCUGUUUUGACAGAUCUGAGGCAUAAGAAAAAGGGACAUCGGAGACUCAGAGAUCUUGGAGGCGCC
rnacentral:lncRNA from 1 species